rnacentral:rRNA from 1 species
CCACACGACCGUACCGCAAACCGACACUGGUGCGCGAGAUGAGUAUUCUAAGGCGCUUGAGAGAACUCAGGAGAAGGAACUCGGCAAAUUGACACCGUAACUUCGGAAGAAGGUGUGCCUUUAGUAGGUGAACCAUUUACUUGGGGAGCCCAAUGAGGCUGCAAAAAAUCGGUGGCUGCAACUGUUUAUUAAAAACACAGCACUCUGCUAAGACGAAAGUCGACGUAUAGGGUGUGACGCCUGCCCGGUGCUGGAAGAUUAAAUGAUGGGGUGCAAGCUCUUGAUUGAAGUCCCAGUAAACGGCGGCCGUAACAAUAACGGUCCUAAGGUAGCGAAAUUCCUUGUCGGGUAAGUUCCGACCUGCACGAAUGGCGUAAUGAUGGCCACACUGUCUCCUCCUGAGACUCAGCGAAGUUGAAAUGUUUGUGAUGAUGCAAUCUCCCCGCGGAAAGACGGAAAGACCCCAUGAACCUUUACUGUAGCUUUGUAUUGGACUUUGAACAGAUCUGUGUAGGAUAGGUGGGAGGCUUUGAAGUGUGGUCGCUAGAUCGCAUGGAGCCAACGUUGAAAUACCACCCUGGUGUGUUUGAGGUUCUAACCUAGGUCCAUUAUCUGGAUCGGGGACAGUGCAUGGUAGGCAGUUUGACUGGGGCGGUCUCCUCCCAAAGUGUAACGGAGGAGUUCGAAGGUACGCUAGGUACGGUCGGACAUCGUGCUAAUAGUGCAAUGGCAUAAGCGUGCUUAACUGCGAGACUGACAAGUCGAGCAGAUGCGAAAGCAGGACAUAGUGAUCCGGUGGUUCUGUAUGGAAGGGCCAUCGCUCAACGGAUAAAAGGUACUCUGGGGAUAACAGGCUGAUACCGCCCAAGAGUUCAUAUCGACGGCGGUGUUUGGCACCUCGAUGUCGGCUCAUCUCAUCCUGGGGCUGUAGCCGGUCCCAAGGGUAUGGCUGUUCGCCAUUUAAAGAGGUACGUGAGCUGGGUUUAAAACGUCGUGAGACAGUUUGGUCCCUAUCUUCCGUGGGCGCUGCAGAUUUGAGGAAGCCUGCUCCUAGUACGAGAGGACCGGAGUGGACGAACCUCUGGUGUAUCGGUUGUCACGCCAGUGGCAUUGCCGAGUAGCUAAGUUCGGAAGAGAUAACCGCUGAAAGCAUCUAAGCGGGAAACUCGUUUCAAGAUUAGAUCUGCCGGGGCCUUGAGCCCCCUAAAGAGUCGUUCAAGACCAGGACGUUGAUAGGUCAGGUGUGGAAGC